rnacentral:rRNA from 1 species
AUGGUGGUCCUCGCGAAGCCGGCGGCUCUGGAGCAGAUCACGCUGCUGAGGACGCCGGAGCCGUGGGAGAGCUUCUCGGGCAUCCCGGCCGUGGACCUGUCCGGCCCCGACGCGGCGGCGGACGUGGUGCGCGCGUGCGAGCGGUUCGGGUUCUUCAGCGUCGUGAACCACGGCGUGCCGGCGGGCGUGGUGGACCGGCUGGAGGCCGAGGCCGUCCGGUUCUUCGCGUCCUCGCAGGCGGAGAAGGACGCGUCGGGCCCCGCCGACCCGUUCGGGUACGGCAGCAAGCGCAUCGGGCGCAAUGGCGACAUGGGGUGGGUCGAGUACCUCCUCCUCGCCAUCGAGCGCGACGCGCUCUCCAAGGCCUCCCCGGCGCCGACGUCCGCGCUGAGGGACGCGAUCAACGCGUACGUGGGCGCCAUGCGCGGGCUGGCGAGGACGGUGCUGGAGAUGGUGGCGGAGGGGCUGGGCGUGUCGCCGCGGGGCGCGCUAGCGGACAUGGUGACGGGCGACGUGGCGAGCGACCAGGUGUUCCGGUUGAACCACUACCCGCCGUGCCCGCUGCUGCAGGGGCUCCCGCCCAACUGCAGCGUCACCGGGUUCGGCGAGCACACGGACCCGCAGCUGGUGUCCAUCCUGCACUCCAACGGCACGCCCGGGCUCCAGGUCGCGCUCCACGACGGGCGCUGGGUGUCCGUCCCGCCCAACCGUGACGCCUUCUUCGUCAACGUCGGCGACUCCCUCCAGGUUCUGACGAAUGGGAGGCUGAGGAGCGUGCGGCACCGGGUGGUGGCCGGUAACGGGCUCAAGUCCCGCGUGUCGAUGAUCUACUUCGGCGGGCCACCGCUGGCGCAGAGGAUUGCACCGCUGCCGCAGCUGCUGGCGGGGACGCCCCUCUACAGGGAGUUCACAUGGGGAGAAUACAAGAAGGCGGCCUACCGCUCUCGCCUCGGCGACAACCGCCUGGCCCCCUUCGAGACGCCACUUGUCGCCAUGGCACACGCCGACCACCACCGGUCCUAG